CCUACGGGAGGCAGCAGUGGGGAAUAUUGGGCAAUGGAGGAAACUCUGACCCAGCGACGCCGCGUGCGGGAUGAAGGCCUUCGGGUUGUAAACCGCUUUCAGUAGGGAAGAAGCGAAAGUGACGGUACCUACAGAAGAAGCACCGGCUAACUAUGUGCCAGCAGCCGCGGUAAUACAUAGGGUGCAAGCGUUGUCCGGAAUUAUUGGGCGUAAAGAGCUCGUAGGUGGUUCGUCACGUCGGAUGUGAAAAUCUGGGGCUCAACCCCAGACCUGCAUUCGAUACGGGCGAUCUAGAGUGUGGUAGGGGAGACUGGAAUUCCUGGUGUAGCGGUGGAAUGCGCAGAUAUCAGGAGGAACACCAAUGGCGAAGGCAGGUCUCUGGGCCAUUACUGACACUGAGGAGCGAAAGCGUGGGGAGCGAACAGGAUUAGAUACCCUGGUAGUCCACGCCGUAAACGGUGGGCACUAGUUGUGGGAACCUUCCACGGUUUCUGCGACGCAGCUACGCAUAAGUAGCCCGCCCGUCGGGAGGUACGAGUCGACGAAGAAGUUAAAACUUAACUAAAGUAAGUAAGUUAGGUUACGGUCGUUGAGAGCGACGACGACGACGACGAGGAGGAG
rnacentral:rRNA from 1 species